AACCCUGACCGAGCAACGCCGCGUGAGUGAAGACGGCCUUCGGGUUGUAAUGCUCUGUUGUAAGGGAAGAACGGUAGAUAGAGAAUAUCUAAGUGAACGGUACCUUACCAGAAAGCCACGGCUAACUACGUGCCAGCAGCCGCGGUAAUACGUAGGUGGCGAGCGUUAUCCGGAAUUAUUGGGCGUAAAGGGUGCGUAGGCGGCCUGUUAAGUAAGUGGUUAAAUUGUUGGGCUCAACCCAAUCCAGCCACUUAAACUGGCAGGCUAGAGUAUUGGAGAGGCAAGUGGAAUUCCAUGUGUAGCGGUAAAAUGCGUAGAUAUAUGGAGGAACACCAGUGGCGAAGGCGGCUUGCUAGCCAAAGACUGACGCUCAUGCACGAAAGCGUGGGGAGCAAAUAGGAUUAGAUACCCUAGUAGUCCACGCCGUAAACGAUGAAUACUAAGUAUGGGGGAAACUCGGUGCUGCAGCUAACGCAAUAAGUAUUCCGCCUGUGGAGUAUGCACGCAAGUGUGAAACAUAAAGGAAUUGACGGGGCCCGCACAAGCGGUGGAGUAUGUGGUUUAAUUCGACGCAACGCGAGAACCU
rnacentral:rRNA from 1 species